AUAUGCUUAACUCUGGGUUGC
rnacentral:miRNA from 1 species